UACGUAGGGGGCAAGCGUUGUCCGGAUUUAUUGGGCGUAAAGCGCGUGUAGGCGGCUGGGUAGGUCCGCUGUGAAAACUCGAGGCUCAACCUCGAGACGUCGGCGGAAACCAUCCAGCUAGAGUCCGGAAGAGGAGAAUGGAAUUCCUGGUGUAGCGGUGAAAUGCGCAGAUAUCAGGAAGAACACCCGUGGCGAAGGCGGUUCUCUGGGACGGUACUGACGCUGAGACGCGAAAGCGUGGGGAGCGAACAGG
rnacentral:rRNA from 1 species